GCCCAGGUAGCUCAGUUGGUAGAGCAGGGGAUUGAAAAUCCCCGUGUCGGCGGUUCGAUUCCGUCCCUGGGCACCA
rnacentral:tRNA from 445 species